rnacentral:rRNA from 1 species
AUGCAGGAAAAUGGUGUGAAUUGUGGUGUUGUAGAGUGGGUUGAUGGGCCUUGGCCAACUGUUCUUCAGAGAUGUUUGUGCAAGCUAUGGGAGAUGUUCCAUGAGCAGAACUUUGGAAGGGUAUAGGACAAGAAGAAGUUUGAGCAGGAGUUGGCCAGGCUUAAGACUGAAAAUGACAAGCUUUGCAUUGAGUACACCAAGCUUGUUGAUGAUGUAUCCAAGAUGUUUGAUUGGCAGGAUGGUAGGGUGGACAAGAAACAAGUGGAGGAGGAAGAACUUGAGAAGAAGAAGAAGGAGCUAGAGGAGAAAGCCAUGUUGGAGGUGCAGAUGGAAAAGCUCAAACUUGCAAAAGAGCAGAGGUGCAUUUUGCAAAGCCAAGCUGAUAUCAUCAAGAACACUAGGAAGGCUAUGAAGGAUGUUGAAGUUGACAGAGAUGUUCUUAAGAAGGAGAAGGCAAUGCUUGAGCUUCUUGUUGCUGAGAUGCUGAAUGAAGGGUAUGGCAGCAAGGAGAAGUUAGAGCAAAUCAAGGCCAUCCUUGAGACUUGA